GGGCGUAAGCGUACGCAGGCGGUUUGUUAAGCGAGAUGUGAAAGCCCCGGGCUUAACCUGGGAACUGCAUUUCGAACUGGCAGACUAGAGUGUGAUAGAGGGUGGUAGAAUUUCAGGUGUAGCGGUGAAAUGCGUAGAGAUCUGAAGGAAUACCGAUGGCGAAGGCAGCCACCUGGGUCACACUGACGCUCAUGUACGAAAGCGUGGGGAGCAAACAGGAUUAGAUACCC
rnacentral:rRNA from 1 species